GUACCUUUUGGAGUGUUCUGUGAGUCCCGCUCCUUGGGACAGAAAAGACAAAGACAUCUGGGGGAGACCAGCAAGAGGCUGUUCACCAUGCUCUUGUGAUGUCUGCUGCAGGACAGCUGCAUGCCCCAAGCGAUGGCACUACCAGGCCCAUUCUCUUCUGCUUGCAGAUUGCCAGCAUUUCCCCAGUCCUGCACCACCACAGGCAUUAUAAAGGAGCUGCCGAUGCUGGAUUUAAAUUCUUUCCUGCUGUGAGUUGCCAGGCAACUGCCACACAACUUCACCUGCAGGCAGCUGGCUUUGUCCAUUGUCCCAUUCCAGGGCAAAGAAGUGAAAACUCCAUUCAUGCAUCCUGGAUUUUAUGACCUGAGAGGGUUGGGGCUGGAAAGUGUCAGCCUGCCCACCCCGCAGGUGGGCAAUGUUCACCAGUACUGAUCUGGCCUAGCUCAGUUUGAUGAUGAUUUGUGUUUGGGUUUUUGUGCUUUUGGUGUAAUCUCUUGGUAUGCUUCAGCAUGUACAGAUGUUCUUGGGGAAGUGUGGAUUGCCUUCUACAAUCACUGUAAAUCAGCCCAGAUAGGUAUGCUAGUAUGUUUUCUGAAGUUGGAUCUUGCUUUAAACCACUGCUGUUCCUUACUGACUUUUAGUAGAACUCAGAUAAUUUACUACAGUCAUGAAAAUCUGCCCUUCCUCAUAGAGAGUUAAAAUCUCCAAGAAGACUGUUACCUGAUCGAAUAAUGAGUAGCUUGCUUCACUGCAUCGCCCUUAAGUGAUGAAUCUCUUUCAUUAUUACCACCGGUUUUCAAAGGUGCACCUAUGGUUGUACAUGGACUUUUCAAGCAAAGUUCUUGCUGAGUUGCACUUAGCAUUUUAUUAUUAUCAGUUCCAUAUAGUUCAUGGUUGCCUAUGAGUUCUUGCUGCUAAAGCAUAGAAUAUGCUGCAUGAAAAAAUAUUUAAUGCUUAUUCCUCCACAAAGUGAGCAGGGAAACACACAAAAAAACCCCAAACCCACUCAAACCAGACUGCAGGCACAUAGAGCCCCCCCUCUGCAAAGUGCUUGUGUAUAAAGAAAAAAAAUGCUGCUGGCAACAAUGACAUAUCUCCCUUUAGGUAUUUAACCGGUGUCAGCAAAGUCAAUGAGAGGGACCCAACAUGCAGUCAAAGAUGUGAGGAAGUGUUUGCAGAGUAAAGGCCUUACAUUUCCAGGGAAUAACUUCUCUUGGAAAACAAAAUGGCAAAACUUACUAACGAUUUCUGGGAGAUGAAUGUCUUAUCUUGUGUCUGCUCUAAGUUGCAUUUCCUAAGCUCUGUAACUUCUCGUCGAUUACAAAGGUGGCCCAAUGUAAGCAGAACAUCAUGCCUUUAGGAGUGAAAGCACAAAUGAACUGCUUUCUAUGUAUUCUGUUUAGAAAAAAAUGAGGCAGGUAUAGCUGAAAGAACUUUUUUUUUUGUGAAGAAUAUUAGCUUUAUCAGCAUAAACUUAUGACAAAAUAUUUUAAAGUGCGUGGAGUUAAUUACAUGAAAAAUACAGGAGCCAUCCCAUGAAGAUGUCUAGGCUGGAACUUGUAAUUAAACCAAAAAGAGGUCACGGGCAAUGAUAACGUGCCUCAUUCCAAUUAGGUUUUGUUUCUGUUGAAUGAAUAAUUAACACUCUGAGCUUGUACAUCUACUUAGCAUUAAGUCCAGGACAGAGACUUACAGAAGGGCUGAAAAUGCGUGCUAAGAAAAUGGUUAUUACACCUUUGACUUCUGUGUAGUGUAAAUAAAAACUGCAAUCUCAGU
rnacentral:lncRNA from 1 species